AAGCCAAGGGGUCGGGACGCUCUGUGUGAUGGAGUGACCUAGGGGUACAGGGAGUACCUCCUUCACGGACCAGGCUCAGCGAAAG
rfam:Pseudomonas stutzeri strain 28a24, complete genome.